rnacentral:rRNA from 1 species
GACGAACGCUGGCGGCGUGCUUAACACAUGCAAGUCGAACGGAAAGGCCCUGCUUUUGUGGGGUGCUCGAGUGGCGAACGGGUGAGUAACACGGGAGUAACCUGCCCUUGACUUUGGGAUAACUGCAGGAAACUGGGGCUAAUACCGGAUAGGAGCUCCUGCUGCAUGGUGGGGGUUGGAAAGUUUCGGCGGUUGGGGAUGGACUCGCGGCUUGUCAGCUUGUUGGUGGGGUAGUGGCUUACCAAGGCUUUGGCGGGUAGCCGGCCUGAGAGGGUGACCGGCCACAUUGGGCCUGAGAUCCGGCCCAGCCUCCUCCGGGAGGCAGCAGUGGGGAAUAUUGCACAAUGGGCGGAAGCCUGAUGCAGCAACGCCGCGUGCGGGAUGCCGGCCUUCGGGUUGUAACCCGCUUUCGCCUGUGCCGAAGCGUGAGUGACGGUACUGGGUAAAGAAGCACCGGCUAACUACGUG